AGAGUUUGAUCCUGGCUCAGAGUGAACGCUGGCGGCAGGCCUAACACAUGCAAGUCGAACGGUAGCACAGAGGAGCUUGCUCCUUGGGUGACGAGUGGCGGACGGGUGAGGAAUAUAUCGGAAUCUACCCAAUCGUGGGGGAUAACGUAGGGAAACUUACGCUAAUACCGCAUACGAUCUGAGGAUGAAAGCGGCGGACCGCAAGGCGUCGCGCGAUUGGAUGAGCCGAUAUCCGAUUAGCUAGUUGGCGGGGUAAUGGCCCACCAAGGCGACGAUCGGUAGCUGGUCUGAGAGGAUGAUCAGCCACACUGGAACUGAGACACGGUCCAGACUCCUACGGGAGGCAGCAGUGGGGAAUUUUGGACAAUGGGCGCAAGCCUGAUCCAGCCAUGCCGCGUGCGGGAAGAAGGCCUUCGGGUUGUAAACCGCUUUUGUCAGGGAAGAAACGGUCCGCGCUAAUACCGUGGGCUAAUGACGGUACCUGAAGAAUAAGCACCGGCUAACUACGUGCCAGCAGCCGCGGUAA
rnacentral:rRNA from 1 species